GCCUUCGUGGUGUAGUGGUCAGCACGCUAGGCGCGUAUGCCAGAGGUCUGUGGUUCGAAUCCCGGCGAAGGCG
rfam:Stegodyphus mimosarum contig61153, whole genome shotgun sequence.